rnacentral:rRNA from 1 species
GCUUAUGGCCAUACCACCCUGAACAUGCCUGAUCUCGUCUGAUCUCAUCACCUAAGUAGGGUUGGGACUAGUUAGCAUGUGGAUGGGAGACUGCGUGGGAAUACCAGGUGCUGUAAGCU